GCCGGCGGGAGGCGGGUCAGCCCCGGGGCGUGUCCUGGGUGCCGGUGCCGGUGCCGGUGCCGGUGCCGGGGUCGGGGUCCUCGCGCCGGACC
rnacentral:tRNA from 1 species